UUCACCGCUUCUCAUACGAUCACCGAGGUUAAGCAACAUCGAGCCUGUUCAGUACCUAGAUGAGUAACCGCCUGGGAAUAUUAGGUGAUGUA